GACCUCAAAUCAGGUAGGAC
rnacentral:rRNA from 1 species